CGCUGGCGGCGUGCCUAAUACAUGCAAGUAGAACGCUGAGGAUUGGUGCUUGCACUAAUCCAAAGAGUUGCGAACGGGUGAGUAACGCGUAGGUAACCUACCUCAUAGCGGGGGAUAACUAUUGGAAACGAUAGCUAAUACCGCAUGAYACUAGAGUACACAUGUACUUAAGUUAAAAGGAGCAAYUGCUUCACUAUGAGAUGGACCUGCGUUGUAUUAGCUAGUUGGUGAGGUAACGGCUCACCAAGGCGACGAUACAUAGCCGACCUGAGAGGGUGAUCGGCCACACUGGGACUGAGACACGGCCCAGACUCCUACGGGAGGCAGCAGUAGGGAAUCUUCGGCAAUGGACGGAAGUCUGACCGAGCAACGCCGCGUGAGUGAAGAAGGUUUUCGGAUCGUAAAGCUCUGUUGUUAGAGAAGAACGGUAAUGGGAGUGGAAAAUCCAUUACGUGACGGUAACUAACCAGAAAGG
rnacentral:rRNA from 1 species